rnacentral:tRNA from 1 species
CGGACAGUAGCUCAGGAGUAGAGCGGCAGGUUGAAGCCCUGCGCGUCGGUGGUGCGAAUCCAUCCUGUCCGGCCA